GUGGGGGAUAUUGCACAAUGGGGGGAACCCUGAUGCAGCAACGCCGCGUGAGGGAAGAAGGUUUUCGGAUUGUAAACCUCUGUCCUAGGUGAAGAUAAUGACGGUAGCCUGGGAGGAAGCUCCGGCUAACUACGUGCCAGCAGCCGCGGUAAUACGUAGGGAGCGAGCGUUGUCCGGAAUUACUGGGUGUAAAGGGUGCGUAGGCGGCAUCACAAGUCAGGCGUGAAAUCUAUGGGCUCAACCCAUAAACUGCGCUUGAAACUGUGGUACUUGAGUGAAGUAGAGGCAGGCGGAAUUCCCGGUGUAGCGGUGAAAUGCGUAGAGAUCGGGAGGAACACCAGUGGCGAAGGCGGCCUGCUGGGCUUUAACUGACGCUGAAGCACGAAAGCGUGGGUAGCAAACAGGA
rnacentral:rRNA from 1 species